CCUAAGGCGAGGCCGAAAGGCGUAGUCGAUGGGAAACAGGUUAAUAUUCCUGUACUUGGUGUUACUGCGAAGGGGGGACGGAGAAGGCUAUGUUGGCCGGGCGACGGUUGUCCCGGUUUAAGCGUGUAGGCUGGUUUUCCAGGCAAAUCCGGAAAAUCAAGGCUGAGGCGUGAUGACGAGGCACUACGGUGCUGAAGCAACAAAUGCCCUGCUUCCAGGAAAAGCCUCUAAGCAUCAGGUAACAUCAAAUCGUACCCCAAACCGACACAGGUGGUCAGGUAGAGAAUACCAAGGCGCUUGAGAGAACUCGGGUGAAGGAACUAGGCAAAAUGGUGCCGUAACUUCGGGAGAAGGCACGCUGAUAUGUAGGUGAGGUCCCUCGCGGAUGGAGCUGAAAUCAGUCGAAGAUACCAGCUGGCUGCAACUGUUUAUUAAAAACACAGCACUGUGCAAACACGAAAGUGGACGUAUACGGUGUGACGCCUGCCCGGUGCCGGAAGGUUAAUUGAUGGGGUUAGCGCAAGCGAAGCUCUUGAUCGAAGCCCCGGUAAACGGCGGCCGUAACUAUAACGGUCCUAAGGUAGCGAAAUUCCUUGUCGGGUAAGUUCCGACCUGCACGAAUGGCGUAAUGAUGGCCAGGCUGUCUCCACCCGAGACUCAGUGAAAUUGAACUCGCUGUGAAGAUGCAGUGUACCCGCGGCAAGACGGAAAGACCCCGUGAACCUUUACUAUAGCUUGACACUGAACAUUGAGCCUUGAUGUGUAGGAUAGGUGGGAGGCUUUGAAGUGUGGACGCCAGUCUGCAUGGAGCCGACCUUGAAAUACCACCCUUUAAUGUUUGAUGUUCUAACGUUGACCCGUAAUCCGGGUUGCGGACAGUGUCUGGUGGGUAGUUUGACUGGGGCGGUCUCCUCCUAAAGAGUAACGGAGGAGCACGAAGGUUGGCUAAUCCUGGUCGGACAUCAGGAGGUUAGUGCAAUGGCAUAAGCCAGCUUGACUGCGAGCGUGACGGCGCGAGCAGGUGCGAAAGCAGGUCAUAGUGAUCCGGUGGUUCUGAAUGGAAGGGCCAUCGCUCAACGGAUAAAAGGUACUCCGGGGAUAACAGGCUGAUACCGCCCAAGAGUUCAUAUCGACGGCGGUGUUUGGCACCUCGAUGUCGGCUCAUCACAUCCUGGGGCUGAAGUAGGUCCCAAGGGUAUGGCUGUUCGCCAUUUAAAGUGGUACGCGAGCUGGGUUUAGAACGUCGUGAGACAGUUCGGUCCCUAUCUGCCGUGGGCGCUGGAGAACUGAGGGGGGCUGCUCCUAGUACGAGAGGACCGGAGUGGACGCAUCACUGGUGUUCGGGUUGUCAUGCCAAUGGCACUGCCCGGUAGCUAAAUGCGGAAGAGAUAAGUGCUGAAAGCAUCUAAGCACGAAACUUGCCCCGAGAUGAGUUCUCCCUGACUCCUUGAGAGUCCUGAAGGAACGUUGAAGACGACAACGUUGAUAGGCCGGGUGUGUAAGCGCAGCGAUGCGUUGAGCUAACCGGUACUAAUGAACCGUGAGGCUUAACCU
rnacentral:rRNA from 1 species